rnacentral:rRNA from 1 species
AGUGAACGCUGGCGGUAGGCCUAACACAUGCAAGUCGAACGGCAGCACAGUAAGAGCUUGCUCUUACGGGUGGCGAGUGGCGGACGGGUGAGGAAUACAUCGGAAUCUACUUUUUCGUGGGGGAUAACGUAGUGAAACUUACGCUAAUACCGCAUACGACCUACGGGUGAAAGCAGGGGAUCUUCGGACCUUGCGCGAUUGAAUGAGCCGAUGUCGGAUUAGCUAGUUGGCGGGGUAAAGGCCCACCAAGGCGACGAUCCGUAGCUGGUCUGAGAGGAUGAUCAGCCACACUGGAACUUAGACACGGUCCAGACUCCUACGGGAGGCAGCAGUGGGGAAUAUUGGACAAUGGGCGCAAGCCUGAUCCAGCCAUACCGCGUGGGUGAAGAAGGCCUUCGGGUUGUAAAGCCCUUUUGUUGGGAAAGAAAAGCAGCAGGUUAAUACCCCGCUGUUCUGACGGUACCCAAAGAAUAAGCACCGGCUAACUUCGUG